GAUCGGCGUCCGCCAGAACUCCAGGGGUAGUCGGGGCAACCUCAGCCAUGCAACACCUCCACCGAGAUUAUCUCUGUCAGGAACGAAGUUUGGACGCCAUCGUUCCAUAGCAUGAAGCUGUCCGGCCACCAUCCAUGGACCAAACCUCACCGCCGCCUCCCGGUGCUCCUCACUGGCCAAGCGAAGGGUUAUAUACCCGUCCAACAUCAUGAAACACUCGGGAUCGUAAUCAAGCUUCAAGGCACGGCGAACCUCCUUCACAACCCAGUCCGCUGGGAUCUGUCUCCCCAAGCUCCUCACCAGAACCGCCAAAUCCUUCCAAAAGCCCCUUGACUCUUCAGCAUCUCCUCCUCCACCUCCAGAAUGUCUGGGAAACGAUUCUGUAUCGAAUCCAGCUCCUGAUCAGAGAUCUUGUGAGUGGUCCAAGCUUGGCGUCUCGGCAUUCCUUUGGUUACCUCCGCCCAGGUCGGAACCCUCCCUCCUCCACCCUUAAGCGCCGUCUUCGGACUCCCUUCCUUCCCUACCUCAGACGAAACCUUCCUCCCCUUCU
rnacentral:lncRNA from 1 species